GGCCUUAUGGUGUAACGGUAUGCACUGCUGCUUCUACUUUGCGCAUUGUCUGGUUAAGCAGCCAGGUUGGGUUCGAUUCCCAAUAUGGCCC